rnacentral:rRNA from 1 species
AUUGAACGCUGGCGGCAGGCCUAACACAUGCAAGUCGAACGAAGUGGCGAACGGGUGAGUAAUACGUGGGUAACCUGCCCUCCUUUUUGGGCUAAGCCUUGGAAACGGGGUCUAAUACCUAAUAAAGGGGGCUGGGCUCGCGGCCUAUCAGCUUGUUGGUGGGGAGGUGGCCUACCAAGGCGGUGACGGGUAGCCUGCCUGAGAGGGGGCCCGGCCACAGUGGGGCUGGGAAACGGAGCAAACUACUACGGGAGGCAGCAGUGGGGGAUAUUGCACAAUGGGCGAAAGCCUGAUGCAGGGAAGCCGCGUGGGGGAUGAAGGGUUUCGGGUUGUAAACCUCUUUAGUUAUAGAACGGGUAGGUGGAGAAGAAGCGCCGGCUAACUACGUGCCAGCCGCCGCGGUAAUAC